rnacentral:rRNA from 1 species
AUGAAACUUUUAUUGAGCUACAAGGCCCAUGCCGUCGAGCGGCUCAUUGCUUGGAAGGGUCUGGAUGACCCAUCCUCUGGGGAUUUCUCAUGCGGUGGCGACCCUAGCUCGCCGACCCUUCAGAGGCUAAUUUGGCAGGGGACCACGCCAUAUUCUCGCAGCAAUGUGGUUAAUGGCGUGUCGGUGUCUGGCGGCACAUACCUCAGCAACGCCAGCUCCAUUGUGUAUGAAACAAACAUCAAGCUGGGCGAUGAGUUCUACUAUAUGUUCACUGUCUCUGAUGGUUUACCGUUCACGCGUUUGACGCUUGACUACACAGGCACGCUGAAGUCUCUAAAUUGGAACAGCCACUAA